rnacentral:lncRNA from 12 species
AUGGUCUCUUCACUUUGUCCACAACAUAGCUGUUGUCCUGACUCCUUUAAUAAGCUCCUGACCUUCUUCCUGAACCCCAUCCUUGGAUCUUUGAUGCUACUGCCAGUAGACUCCUACAGUGCCUUUCUCUUGUCCUUCCCAGGAACCUGGCUUCAUCCUACCACCAGACAUUGUGCUCAAACCAGGGAUGAAGAACUCUACUUGGCCACACUAGUGAAGAUGGGAAAGGAGCAAGGGGGAGAAGGCAGAGAUGUGGCAAUGCUGCGUCUCAGAUUUAUAGAGGAUGGCAGUGGUUCCCAGGGACUGCUGCUUGGCUCACACCUCUAUCAACAGAUGCUUGGAAAUAAUGCACCAUGCCAGCUUUUCAAGGAUUUUCCUCUUUCCUCCCUCCCUAGAGAAAAACAAAAGGAUUAA